rnacentral:misc_RNA from 13 species
UGGUCGAGAACCAACCGAAAAUAAUCAUUACUGGUGCGCAGUUGUUGUUUCCAUAGACGUGUCAAUUGUUUGUCUAAUUGCGCCAGCAGCAGCAAAACGACGCCAAAACACACAUGCGCAUUCCAGCGCACAAAUAUCCCACCCACGGAAAUCGCAAUACCAUCGCCCCAGCAACGCGGAGGAGGGGGUGGACUCCACUUUUCCAGGGAGAAAGCGAACGUACGCAUACGAGAAUCCGAAUCUGAGAAUCCCCAAUCCCCGAGUCCAAGAGAGCGAAGACGACACUCCAGCUCGGUAUUUGAGCCAUCGACAUUCCGCUGCUCCGUCAGUUUUCAGAGGACCUUCGAAGUGGGCAGCCGAAAAUCCAAAAGUCUCCUGGCAGCGAACGGAAAACCAAAGAGAAAAAAAAAUAAGAAAAGCUAAAUCCAGUUGGCAGAGAAAAGCUCAAGUGGUAAUUGGCUGCGACUCAAAUUACUUUAGUUGUGCAAAUAGCGAAUAGCUAUAAACCCAAAAGAAAAGAAACUCGAGCGUGGCGUGUGUCCAUGUGGAAAAUCGAUCGAAUCGCAGAGUAUUUAUCGUGUAAUUGUGCCCAAUAGCCACGCAAUUCCCAGUCCGUUUUAUUGAUUUUCCCCACCGCCUCGCCAAGUAGCAAUAAAAAGCAUUCUUUUCCCUUCCAUCUCGACCAUCUGGCCAACGCAAUUGCAGCGUGCAAAAUUCAAAUUUCAAGUUAAAUGCGAGAAUUUACAUAACGCCGAGCGUUGAAAGUGAAACUUCUGUGGUGCGAACGAAACACUGAAAGAAAGGAAAACCCAUUACAGGACAUUCUAUCUGCCUCUGCCCAGUGUAGUAAAAGUUGGAGCGCCAGGAGCGGGAGAGCAGUGGAAAACCGUGAGAACCGCGAGAGCAAGAGAGCCUAGAGAGCGUUGAACGUGCGCACGUCUUCCUGGUCAGGACACACCACCAAUCCUUGAGAGAAACAGCAGGAGCCAACAUGUUUUCGGGCCUAACAAAUCAAUUCACCUCGCUGGUGGGCGCCGUUAAAGGAGGCGCUGGCGACGAGGAUGUGCCCGCGCCCACUGGAGAUGCGCCCGCAGCCGCUCCAGCAGCAUCCACAUCCGUGGAGGCCACGGCCUCCUCCGCCGUGGACCCGGAGGCAGCUGCCGCCGCCGGUGGCGAAGGACUCGAGGGCGAGGAAGCUGGCAAAAGACUUCCCAAAUCCGCCUCCCUGGUUGAUUCAUUAGUAUCCGAAGCCACCGGUUGGCUGGGCAGUGCCAAGGGUUGGCUGGGAAACGCCUCGAUACCGUCGAUGCCAGCCAUGCCGUCGAUGCCAUCGAUGCCGGCCAUGCCAGCGAUGCCAUCGAUACCAUCGAUCCCGGGACUCCGCAAGGGCGCAGGAGCCGAUGGAGCCGAGGGCGCCGAGGGAGCUGUUGCCGGAGAGGGCGGAGCCGCCGCCAGUGGAGCCGUGAGUGGUGGCGAGGAUGAUGACAAGUCGAGGUAUAUUAGCGCCACGGAGGGCGCCGACUCGCAUCCUGCAUCGGGCGGUGGCACGCCCACCGGCGACGAGGGUCAAAUCGGACAGGGUAAGGGCGAUGAAGUCAAAAUUACCACAAAAGUAACACAGCAGGCCAAACACUUUGGGUCCUUCUUGUCAUCGGCCAUCAGCAAGGCUGGCAGCAAAAUCAAGGAAACUGUCAAGGAUAAUACCAUUCUCGACUCGUUCAACAAGGAGCAGGAAGCCUUCAUCAAGGGCCAGGGCGGCGUGGGCAAUGGAGCAGCCCCCUGGAUCGGACACGCCAACGAGGCCAAGAUCAAGGAGGAAAUCCUUGGCCUGUCGCAGGAUCGCCGCAACUUCGUGCGCGCCCCGCCCGCCGGCGUGGACUUUGAGUUUAGCUACGACACCGCCUAUCCCACGGCCAUAGCCAUUAUGGCCGAAGACAAGGCGCUCGAGACGAUGCGAUUCGAGCUGGUGCCCAAGAUCAUCACUGAAGAGAACUUCUGGCGGAAUUACUUCUACCGCGUCUCACUGAUCAUCCAGGCCGCCGAGUUGGGCACUCUGGGUGCCGAUGGCGUGGGUCAGGCCUCAAGCGGCGAAGAUGCUCUGGCAUUUAAUUACUAAAGCGAAUCUAUCAAUUGAAAGUAAUAUUAAACCAAUAACGAAAUCACACAAUAAAUAAAUAUAGAAGUAAAGCAACUAAUGGAUAACAAGAGUAUUAUAAAUUAUAUAAACACAUAUAAAUAUAUAUCCUGAAUAAAAUCGAACUCGACAAAAACUCUCAUUUGCCAUUUAGCGAACUGCAAAAUAAUAUCAAAUAUAUAUAUAUAUGUAUGUAUCAUAUGACAUAUAAUUUGAUUUCGAUUAUUUCGAUUAAAUUUCGAACAAAGGAACAAUGGGAAAAGGAUCUGGAAGCUGAACUCAAGGACUACGAGGUGGUUGACGAAGGCGGCACUGGCGGCGGAGGACGCAGAAAGGG